UACGUAGGGGGCAAGCGUUGUCCGGAAUCAUUGGGCGUAAAGCGCGCGUAGGCGGCUGAGUAAGUCUGCUCUGAAAGCCCGGGGCUCAACCCCGGGAGGCGGGUGGAUACUGCUCAGCUCGAGUCCGGAAGAGGAGUGUGGAAUUCCUGGUGUAGCGGUGAAAUGCGCAGAUAUCAGGAGGAACACCAAUGGCGAAGGCAGCACUCUGGGACGGUACUGACGCUGAGACGCGAAAGCGUGGGGAGCAAACAGG
rnacentral:rRNA from 1 species